UUUUGCUGUGAGUGUCCUUGACUUCUCCUCAUUUGGAAUCGCUGGUUUUAUAAACCCUUAACUUCUGUUUUUCUGCGUCUUUUAGUUUCGGUUAUGUCGCUUUUUUUUCUUUGAUUAAAAAAACUAUGGGUCAUGGUUGUUGUUAUUUCUAUUUUUUCUGCGUCUUUCUGCGUGUUUCAGUUUUGGUUACGUCGUUUUUCUUCUUUUUUUUUUAAUUUAAAAAAAAAUUAUGUCGUGGUUGAUGUAACUUCUUUUAUCAAUGCCAAUCUUUUCACAAUAACACCACAACAUGUGUUCUGUUUAAAUAUUAAAUUAUGUUACGUUUCAACAAGCCAACGCUUGCAAGGCUUAUAAAACAUAGUAUGUGUAAUGUGUUUUAAAAUUCAGCAAAAUUUAGACUAAGUUUGAUAUUAGAGGCAUAUAUAUUAACCAAUUUAUCACAUUUAUUAUGUACAAUACGUUGUGUUUCAAAAAAAAAAAAUAUUAAUGUACAAUACGUUAGAUUGCAUGGUCACAAUAAAUCUAUUUAAAAAGUGACGUUCACAAUCAAUCUAUUUUAAAAGUGACUUCAAAUUGGGUGUUAAAUUUUUCUCUCUUCCCUCCUAGAUCAGAGGAAAAAAAAUUGUUAAAGUGAUGGUAACAUCCAAGUUAACCCGAAGAUGAUUACAUGUAAUAACUUUGACCAGCGACUUUCCACUGCAUCUUAUAAGACCUAAUAACAUUUACUUUAGGUCAAGAACAUUUGAUAAUAUGUGAGAUUUCAC
rnacentral:lncRNA from 1 species